rnacentral:rRNA from 1 species
CAAUUUUGCGAUACGCUUUCGACGAGUCGGGUUGUUUGGGAAUNCAGCCCAAAAUGGGUGGUAAAUUUCAUCUAAAGCUAAAUAUUGCCGAGAGACCGAUAGCGAACAAGUACCGUGAGGGAAAGAUGAAAAGAACUUUGAAAAGAGAGUUAAAAGUACGUGAAAUUGUUAAAAGGGAAGCGAUUGAAACCAGUGCUGAGUGAUCUGUUGAGAAAUCAAUCAACUUGGCGCAGAACGCGGCGGCCAUCCAACCUUGUAUAUUUAUUAUAGGGAGGAAUGACCGUCGUGGCUUUUCUCUGUCGUUCAAGUUGGUGCACUUUCUUCUUAUCACAAGUCAACAUCGGUUUCUUCUUGCCGGAAAAAAGGGUAGGGAAGGUGACUCGAGUUCUAAUCCAACUUGGGAGUUAUAGCCCUAUUCCCAAUGAAUACGGUGAGAGAGACCGUUGUCCAUGUUGUGGCAUUCCUAUGGAAACGCCUUCAUUAGAUUGACGCAUGGCUUUUCAACACGGGUUUCCAAACCAAGUGAUGAAUCUGCCAUGGACAGGUCGUUCCAAUGAGGGAUGGCUGCUCCAUAGUGCCUUCACCCCAUUGUUGACAAAAUGGUUUUAACCGACC